GAGGUGGGGGGCAUGUGCAAGCCGGGUAACGGCCCAGGGUUCGCACGUGGAGGUGGAGUGUGGACUCUCCCCAAAGCUAGAGGAGGAUGAAGGAACUGGGAGUGAAAUAUACCUUAAGUUUAGACUUUGACAAGUUAUGAUAUUGGUUAAAAUUCCUUGUUGCAAACAACACACUGCAAGCAAGAAUUUCUUAAAUUGAUGUUCAGCAGCUCCAGGGUCAUUGGGUAAGCUAAACAAACAAACAAACAAACGGGAAGGCUUGGAUUAAAGUGCCAGAAAAAAAAUACCCUAAACCGUGCAACAGAACUGACAUGAUAAAGAAACUGCUGCUAUUCCCAUCAACACCAAAUGCCAUGAACUCAGCUUUCCUUCAUCUGUUCCUGCUAUCAGCCAAUUCUGUGUCAGAACUUUGAUCUUACAACCGAUGCCACCUUUACAGUCUGGAUGCCUCUUCUACCUUUACCUGUACCAGGAAAAUGGAAGUUCUGGCUAGAUCAUGAUUGUGUAUGUCAAAGAACAAAGAAAGGACUCAGAAACCAUAACUGGAGCACCAAUGUUUAACACAGCCCUGAAAGAACACGUUUUUACAGGAAGCAAAGAGGAACUCUCAAGGGUAUUUCACCAUAAGCUUAAAGGAUAAAAUGUUGGAAGCAGACCUAAAGUUAGAAUGGAUAUGACAAUUUGCCAAGGCAGACGAAAGACACUCUGAAGGUAAGUGCAGUUCUAACUACUCUUGAUAGAAUUCUUCAAAGAAAUAAAACAUUUAAUGUUUCUAAUGUUUUAAGUAACACUCUUUGUAAAUGUAAGUUUUCCUAUUUUUAAAAUGUCCCUAUGUGUUUGUAAGUGAAAGUCUUCAAUAUUUUGGAAAAAAGAUAUUAUGGGGCAGUUGUCAUUUUUCCUGUUAAUUAUCAAGAUUGCUUUGUACACUUUCAGCUUGCCUGGUCAUUUUUGUGCUCCUGCACUAGCAUGCAAAGUGAGGACAGCCUGUAUACAGGUAGAAUAAGAACAAAUUCAAAACGAUGGAUUGUACUAAUGCCUUGGCAGUGUAAGUCUAUUUUAAAGUAUAACUAGAGUCUGAAAAAAAAAAGGUGCAGUAAUAUUGUAGACACAUCUGCCAGGGCAAACCAAUAAUCCAGGUACGUAUUUCAAAGGUGUGUGAUGCAUUUGAGACAGAGAUCACCUGGGUAUUCAUUUGUUUGGUGUGGAGGAAGACUGUAAGAAGAAAGGGAUGAAAAACAGGUGUGAAUCUCCAUGUAAUGUCUCAUCCUCAGAAAACAUGGCAUCUGCUGUCAAACGAUCUUAACAUUUGCUUCCUUCAAGAAGAAGUCUGCACCAAUUAGAAAACCAUCAGCUGCAGGCUGGCAACAAAUGGUGACAGCUGUACCAGGCAUCACAUCCAAAUGCCAUGUUGUCCAGAGGCAGAUAGGGGCUGUCUCUUCUACAGUCUGCUUCUCAGGAGGAAAGAAAUGCCCUCCAUCCUGUCAGCCACAACGGAUCCCUGGCCACGGUAUCAGUCAGGGUUCAAGAUAGAAAACUAAAGCCACUCUACGUAUUCUGGAUUGGAGGGGCUUAACAUAGAAUUUGGGGGCAUAUGCAACUCCUGGGAAAGCCGGGGAAGCAGACUUCAGAAACUCUCUCCUUAAAGAUCAGAGGAGUUGACCCCGAAUAACCUUAGCCUCAAACACCUAAGUGUGUAAUUCCUCAAAUUUGUGCUAGGAAGCUGCUGGGACUCUCUCAUCUACCCACCUAUACAGCUACAAUCAUCUCUAGAGGAAGAACAGCACCCUCUUUGCAAAUCCUGAGCCUAGUUCCUCUUGUGAGCAAUGACCCGGAACAGGACAGAAACUGAUUCUGGAGAGCAUGCAUGGGUCCUAGACUUAGAGGGGAAUAGUGGACCACAUUGAAAGCAGACAAUCCAGCAUACCCACCCUAAAGUAGCUCCAGCAAAGGGGAAUGGUCCACUGAGAUUGAUUGAGGACCAUUAGGCUUUCCCUUUGAUCCUGCAGGUAGGGUAAAGUCACUCUCAACAUGUUGCUUGAGGGAGGAUUGAAACCCACCCUCCUCCCUCGCAAAUCAUGUUUGACGAGCAAGGAAAGUAAGGAAAAACUGUUGGUUAGACAACCAGUGGUGCCUGUUCCAUGCUGGGUCUCAGCAUAAUCAUAAUUUUCUUUGCAAAUAAACAUAUUUGUUACCAAAGUAGC